AAAUCCUGUAAUCCCGGGAGGACCACCAGUGGCGAAGGCGGUCGGCUAGAACGCGCUCGACGGUGAGGGACGAAAGCUGGGGGAGCGAACCGGAUUAGAAACCCGGGUAGUCCCAGCUGUAAACGAUGCGGGCUAGGUGUUGGGGUGGCUACGAGCCACUUCAGUGCCGCAUGGAAGCCAUUAAGCCCGCCGCCUGGGGAGUACGGCCGCAAGGCUGAAACUUAAAGGAAUUGGCGGGGGAGCACCACAAGGCGUGAAGCUUGCGGUUUAAUUGGAGUCAACGCCGGGAAACUUACCGGGGGCGACAGCAGUAUGAAAGCCAGAUUGAAGGUCUUGCUGGACGAGCUGAGAGGAGGUGCAUGGCCGUCGCCAGUUCGUGCCGUGAGGUGUCCUGUUAAGUCAGGCAACGAUCGAGACCCGCCUCCCUUGUUGCUACUGGUGAAUAGCCAGGCACACUAGGGAAACUGCCGUCGAUAAGGCGGAGGAAGGAGCGGGCCACGGCAGGUCAGUAUGCCCCGAAUCCCCCGGGCCACACGCGAGCUGCAAUGGCAGGGACAAUGGGUUUCAACCCUGAAAAGGGGAGGUAAUCUCUAAACCCUGCCUCAGUUGGGAUCGAGGGCUGUAACUCGCCCUCGUGAACAUGGAAUGCCUAGUAAUCGCGUGUCAUCAUCGCGCGGUGAAUACGUCCCCGCUCCUU
rnacentral:rRNA from 1 species